AUGUCCCUGCCCAUGGCAGGGGGAUGGAACUAGAUGAUUUUUAAGGUCCCUUCCUACCCAAACCAUUCUAUGAUUCUAUGAUGGACACUGUUCUGGCAGGAAUAUUGGAGCAGGGAGAGCCUCAGAGCAAGCUUGGAAGCAAAUGGAGGGGCUUGUGGCUGAGGAUGUUCAAGCGUUCAUGAAAUCGAAGUGGUUGGUAGUGCCGGAGAAGCUAGAGUGCUUCCACAGAAGAGCUGGUGACAAUGUCCAUGACCAACAAUACAGUGUGAGCAAACCAGGAACAAGGAAAUGGAAAAGGGAGAAAGUGCUUAAAGAAACAUUGCUAAAAUGUGAAGGAUGCUUUUCGAGUGAAGGGCAGAAGUUUAAUAUCUCCUUAGGGGAAUUCUUUUGAACUUGCAUUUCUUCCAAAUUGAUGCUGUAUUCCUUGUCUUUUGGGUAAAACUUGAGUUUAUUACCUGUACCAACUUGCUAGCUGCUCACAGUGCCUGGAAGAGAAAUUACUUACAGAGGUGUGUCUUGUUACUAAUCUACCACCCCACAACACUUACUGUUAAGCGGGAUUUCUCUCUCCAGCCAGGGAUAGUUUGUAUUUUGAAGGUAUUCUGUCUGUGGUUUCAGUUAGGUCCCCUCUGCAGUUGUGAUAAGGGUAAGGUGAAGAUAAGCCAUGUAUUGGGUUAUGCUGAAGUGAACUGGAGGGAUGUGUCAAGGGGGUUAUCAUUCUGGAUCUUCCUAUCUGGGUGAAAAUUGUUGCUUUGUAUGCAGUGAGUGCAUCAAUGCACGAAAGAUUUGUAUCUUCCUUUUGCUAACAGUAAAGGCAGGAGAAUGCAUUUGCUGUCAGAUGCUGCCCAGAGAAUUGGUGGCAUUCCCAUCCCUGGAGAUGUUCAAAGCCAGGUUCGAUGGGGCUUUGAUCAGCCUGAUCCAGGGGGAGAUGUCCGUGCCCAUGGCAGGGGGUUGGAACUGUGUGGGCUUUAAGGUCCUUGUGACCCAAACCAUUCUAUGUUUCUGUGGUAAGGGUAUCAUGAGAUAAUUACAAUGGCCACUUUAUCUUCACACUUUCUUUUCUGCUAGAGACAUGACCCUUAGUCCCCUUCAUUUAAUUUGUUUAAAAUUAAAAAAACCCUCGCCUUAAUGAAAAAUAUUUUUUCAUUAAGUUGAAAACUACUCUUGUAGGUAGUCCUGCACUUUGUUAUGUCUAUGCGGCACAAGAGGGCAGUCUGCACUGUAAUGCUGUGAAUAGUGCCUUCACCUGUAGUACAUCUUUUGUGCAGCAAUGGAGAGUGGAGUGGCUCAUUUUCCUAUGGAGAAUCACAUCCUACAUCAUGAAAUAUAUGUACUAUGAGAUAUUCAGGAGCUGCUUUAUGGCUGAGGCACCAGGGCUCUUUGCUGGAAAAUUCCACUUGAAAAAACUCCUUCUAUGCCUUCCUGCUGCACUAUGCCAGGUGCACAAUUUUCCUAGUAUUAUUUCUUUAGUUAUACUAAUAAGCAAUUCUGACUCUUAACCUCCCACUGAUAUCAGCCUUAUCCAGUUAAAUUAAUGACCAAUCCAAGGUUUCUCCUAAAGUGAGACGAUUGUUAGUUUGUCAGUUUACCAAGCCCAUGGAAGCCCACCUAUUUCAUUUUCCCAAACCCAUGGAAGCCCAUCCAUUUAAUUUCCCAAGCUCAUCCAUUUUCUAAGCCAUAUAUUUUCACAGGAGGCAAAAGAAAGGAAAAUAUGGAUUUUCCUAGAAAGUAUGUACACUUAGACUCUUAGUUUCGCAAUCAUGUGGACAUAUGUCCUUAUUUUACUUAAAAAAAAAAUCAUCUCAUUGACCUCACUGGACCUUAAAGUAGAAGCAAUUGUCUCAAUAUUACAAGUGCAACUGGGCCGUAUUUUCAUACACAAAUGCUUUGGUUUGAUUGCAGGAUUGACUUGAUUGCUCACUUCUAAGCAUUUGAAUUUGUUGUGAGAAAUCCUUCUAAUGGCAGUUGAAUGUGCUUCACGUUUAGGGCCAGGUUUCAAGCUGUAUCACUCCUUAGGGAGUCUGAAAUACUGGUGUUGUGGGCAGGAUUUCAUUGGUCUCAGGUUGGAUCUUGUUGCCUCAGUCUCCGAGGCUCUUGCUGUAACACAUGAAGCAACAUGAGCUCUUCUGUCAGAUUUGCCCCUUCAGCCUCCUUUUCUCUGGUUCUCGAUAGCAUUCUUCUUCAGUGAUAUCUUUGGGUGAUGCCCAGAACCACCAGGCUGCAGGUACUGAUGUUCGUUCUCCUUCUUUAUUUCUGUUCCUAUUUCUAUCCCAGGUGACUGAUUCUGUGUCAGGCAAAGGGCAGGGCUCCAACACCACUGUCUCCUGUGGUCUGGUCCUUUUGUAUGCCAAGGACAUCUUUGGCUCCCAUGAUCAUGCUGGGUGGGCAUCAGCCGCGCAACACAGGAGUUAACCUCAGCCUGCACAGAAGCAGGAGGCUGCACUUACAAACUCUUAGGUAUGAAAGGGCCACGAAGAUGAUCAGAGAGUUGGACCAUCUCUCAUACGAGGUGUAAGGGUCGGUCAAAAGAUUGAUUUCUGUCUCAACAUUUUUCAUCAGGUGUUAAGUCUCAGAAUCUGACUGUACAAACCACAGAUUUCAGCCUUACAAAAACGGCCAAAGUUGGUACACAAGGAAUGCUUUGUACCUGCCAAAGCUGAUACCGAACGAAUGCUUUGUACCUGUCUUCAAGUGUCCCUACUACCCGUAUCUACCUCCUUAUCUCCCUACAACUGUGAAAUAUCCAUGAAGCAAGACAGGGAAAUUAAUGAUGCGACUUACCACUGACCCAUGCUCCAACAGAGCAUGCGAAAAGACCAGUUCAUCCAAAGCUCAAGGUGAUGAUGACUACUAGCCUUCAUCAGGGAUCUCAAGUUGACCACAGCUGCCAGGAGGAGUGCAUGUGCAAAUGAAGGAGACUUGCCUCGAAGGACAACCAUGCCUCAGACAUUCAUUUCCUACCAUGUGUCGCCUGCCAGGUGGGGUUUGGUGUUUUGCGGAAUCAAACCCUAUAACACAAAAUGAGCUAUAAAGCAGGUAUGUUUAUUUCCAGUGCUGAGGUGCAAGGGGAUUCUCCUCCUAGCUUGCACACUUAACAAACGUAUAACUUAACAAAUGGCUAGUUUUAGUGUAAAGACUUUCAUAGUUAUAAGCGCCUACGACAUAUUCAUAACUUUUCCCCACUUCAUAUUAUAUUAUAGAGUGCUUCUCACACGCCCUUGGCCCUGCCUGUAUUGGGGCAAAGGCUCCUGGGUGGCCGUGAUGUCACAGUGGACACACUGCCGAGGCACAGAGAGAACGAUGCAGCGUCCUGGUCCUGUGUCAGUGCGUCCCGGUGAGCACGUUCGCUGCAUUGAUCGGUAGAAGUUGUUUGGGAGGUCUCGCUCCAAAAGAGCGAAGAAGGGCUGUGUGUGCAGAGCUAUCGUCUGCGCUGCUUUGCGGUGAGAUGGGGGCCGCCCUGAGGCGCCCGAAGAAGGGCAGCACCUGCAACCCCUCACGGCCAGAAAGCAGCCCCUGCUCCAGCCACU